rnacentral:rRNA from 1 species
GAUGAACGCUGGCGGCGUGCUUAACACAUGCAAGUCGAACGGUGAAGGCGGAGCUUGCUCUGCUGGAUCAGUGGCGAACGGGUGAGUAACACGUGAGCAAUCUGCCCCUGACUCUGGGAUAAGCGCUGGAAACGGCGUCUAAUACUGGAUACGAGCUGCGAAGGCAUCUUCAGCAGCUGGAAAGAAUUUCGGUCAGGGAUGAGCUCGCGGCCUAUCAGCUUGUUGGUGAGGUAAUGGCUCACCAAGGCGUCGACGGGUAGCCGGCCUAAGAGGGUGACCGGCCACACUGGGACUGAGACACGGCCCAGACUCCUACGGGAGGCAGCAGUGGGGAAUAUUGCACAAUGGGCGAAAGCCUGAUGCAGCAACGCCGCGUGAGGGACGACGGCCUUCGGGUUGUAAACCUCUUUUAGCAGGGAAGAAGCGAAAGUGACGGUACCUGCAGAAAAAGCGCCGGCUAACUACGUG